AUGGGGAAUCCCACCCACGGAGGCCGGAAAGCGCCCGGAUCCCCGCUGUAUCCCAAUAGGGCCGUAAGCCAGCACAACCCCAAAACGGGGAGGAAAACAGAGAGGCUCCAGAGCCCCGCAGCCCCUCAGGGUGCGGACGAGGACCUCCCCCGCCCCAUGCCGGGCGUUGGGCCCAGGCCGCGCUCAGCUCAGCUCGGCUCAGCUCAGUCACCUCACGGCCUGCCGCCCCGCUCGACCUUCCUCCCACUUCGAGCCUUCCCGCGCUCCCGCCCGCGCCGAGGCCGGCCCCGCUCCGUCAGCGCGCCGUCAGGACACGGGGCGGGGCUGCGAGCGGCGGGGGCCGGGCCGGGCCGGCAGACAGCGGGAUGGCGGCGGCGGGCGAGGCUGGGACCGCUCGAAAGCGGCUGGGAUCCGGCAGGUGACGGGGCCGCUUCCUCACGGCUGCCGGGCGGCAGCGGCAGAUACUUUCAGAAAGCACCACAAAGAAGCUUCCUUGGGUAGAAAACCUUGCAAGAAAAAACUGCGCUUCCUGGAAACUUGGGGAGCAGAGCUGUCGAAAUGGCAGAAAAUAAGGACAGUAAUCUUAAAAACACAGAUGUGAGACCCAAGAGCAGCCGGAGCAGAAGUGCAGACAGAAAGGAUGGUUAUGUCUGGAGUGGAAAGAAACUCUCCUGGUCAAAAAAGACUGAGCGCUGUUCUGACACUGAGACAGCAAACGCUGCAGGAAGGUCAGGGCCUAAUUUAAGGAGCCAGGAGAGAAAGUACAGCUGCUCCUC
rnacentral:lncRNA from 1 species